ACUGAGUGAAGGGGUCAGAGAGUUAAGAGAAUUAGUACAGGUGAGAUUGUACUGAUUCUUUUAACUCUCUGACACCCUCGCUCAGU
ensembl:miRNA